UCGCAGAUGAAGCUGUUCACUCCUUCUCAUCGGCUGACAGCACAGGCAUCAACUCCAAGUGUGACAGCAGCAACAACUCUGCAAUCACAACCACAACAGUCUUUCUUCACUAUAGUCUACAUUACCACCCAAAUAGGACACACUAUGCUACAAUGGUCUCGAUGAGCUGGUGCCUAUUCCAGCUGACUUUGGACAAAAGGCAGACGACAUCCUGGAAUGGUCGCCAGUCGGUCACAGGGCACAAUUCAUGACAGGCGACGAUUCACACUCAAAUUCACACCAUCACUGAGUAGAACCCAUGCUUCCCGCACCCAAGUCAGGGUCAAAUGGCUGAACACUCUCCUGCUCUGAGAACAAUUAGCCGAGCUGAAUACAGAGACAGACAGCAAAAGAGAAAAAAAUUCCCACAACGAGAUGAUGGGUCGUGACCCUGCUCAGGCCUUACAUGAUG